UGGGGGAUAUUGCACAAUGGGCGAAAGCCUGAUGCAGCGACGCCGCGUGGGGGAUGAAGGCCUUCGGGUUGUAAACUUCUUUUGCUCUGAACAAGGCGCACCAUGGGGUGUGUUGAGUGUAGGGGUUGAUUAGCGCCGGCUAACUACGUGCCAGCAGCCGCGGUAAUACGUAGGGCGCGAGCGUUGUCCGGAAUUAUUGGGCGUAAAGGGCUUGUAGGUGGCUGGUUGCGUCUGUCGUGAAAGCUCAUGGCUUAACUGUGGGUUUGCGGUGGGUACGGGCUGGCUUGAGUGCAGUAGGGGAGGCUGGAAUUCCGGGUGUAGCGGUGGAAUGAGCAGAUAUCAGGAGGAAUACCGGUGGCGAAGGCGGGUCUCUGGGCUGUUACUGACACUGAGGAGCGAAAGCAUGGGGAGCGAACAGG
rnacentral:rRNA from 1 species